rnacentral:rRNA from 1 species
AUUGAACGCUGGCGGCAGGCCUAACACAUGCAAGUCGAGCGGAGCGGCGGACGGGCGAGUAAUGCCUAGGAAUCUGCCUGGUAGUGGGGGAUAACGUCCGGAAACGGGCGCUAAUACAGCAUACUAUCAGCUGAGCCUAGGUCGGAUGAGCUAGUUGGUGGGGUAAAGGCCUACACAGGCGACGAUCCGUAGCUGGUCUGAGAGGAGGAUCAGUCAGACUGGAACUGAGACACGGUCCAGACUCCUACGGGAGGCAGCAGUGGGGAAGAUUGGACAAUGGGCGAAAGCCUGAUCCAGCCAUGCCGCGUGUAUGAAGAAGGUCUUCGGGUUGUAAAGCACUUUAAGUUGGGAGGCGUUACCAGCAGAAUAAGCACCGGCUAACUCCGUGCCAGCAGCCGCGGUAAUAC